GGCAGGGGCUGAGGGCACAGCCAGCGGGCGGCGCGCCGCGGACUCCAAGGCAGCCCGCCAAAAGAAUCCUGAACAUCAUCAUAAAAAGACAGUCACCAGUCCUGCUCAUCUGGAGGACUGUUCUCACAAUCUUCAGCAAGGAGAUAAAACAGAGUACUGCAGAGAUGAAGUAACUUGCCCUAAGACCCAUACCUGAAUUAACAGCUCUGAAAUUUGAAGGUGCUAGUGUCUCACUGGUCUUAAACUGCGAAGCUGAACGACGAAAGCAUCCUUCCUGUAAUCAGUGUAGCAAAAUGACAGGCAGAGAAACCAUGCUGGGAAGAAGCAAGGUCAUCAGUUGAACCAUCUUGACUUUGGCCCAGAACACAGCUCAGCCUCAACUCCUGCAGUGCAUUUGCCUCCCUCACUUUGGUUUAAGACCUGGAGUGAUGUGUUCCUGCUCCAGA
rnacentral:lncRNA from 10 species